rnacentral:lncRNA from 1 species
AAGCAGAUGGGCAUAUACUUGAUCUUUGUUUACUGAGAGAAGCUCUCUUUUGCUUCAGCCAAUGGGCUGUUCUGUGGACCACCCACAAAGCUGGGUGGAGCUGGACUGUCAAGCUCAACUUUGACCUCAGAUAUCCCAACGGUAAACACGAGCACCAGACCUGACUGGGUGGUUGAGGGAGCUCCUGGUGAAAUGUGCUGAGGCUUCUGCUGAGGUUUCUACCUCAGCUCCACGGCCUGGCCAGGUAGGAAUGCAAUUCACCUUCCUGUCAUGUUUCUGUCCUGGCACUCCAGACAUUCGGGUCAGACAGACCUCACUAUCUCCAAGCUGCAGUGAAUCUGAGAGCCAUGAAAGUUCAAUGGAUUGAAGAAAAUGUUCACGGAAGGAAGAUGAUUAAUUGAUCCAGAGGGCCUGUAGCAACUCUGUUUAACAUGCUAGAUGAGCCAGUCUUAUUCAGUGAUGACUAAGGAUCUAGAGAAAACUGGUGUCAGGUUGGUCUUCUUCUUCCCACCUAUUUUCAGUUGGCCUGCAGUUCCUAGGAUGUGUAUCCUGUAUGCUGGUCACCGGAAGAUAGGCAAAUUUUUGCUUUGUUGCUGGUUCUGGGACAACAGCCAUGAAAUCAUAUUUAAAGAGAAGAAUCCUGGAGAUAUCAUUGCCUCAGCCUAAAGAAAAGAAUCAACAAAAUAAUGCUCUUGAAGCAGAAGGUGCCAAUGGUGAAACCAGGAGGCAGAGAGUUUCAAAAUCAUAUGUGUGUCACUCUCAUGAAAACAAAAACCAGCUGCAACCACAGAGCUCAGUCAUUUUAAUAAUAUGACUUUAUUAUUCCAAGAAAUUCUUGCCUAGGAAGAUUAAAUU